CCCCGGCUUGGGUAGCUCGGAGGCAUACCCCACCAGCUGGGGACUGGUCAGCAACAUGGUUUUAUCGCGUUCGUGCCGCUCGACCGAGGU
rnacentral:tRNA from 1 species